rnacentral:rRNA from 2 species
CCUAGUACGAGAGGACCGGAGUGGACGACCCUCUGGUGUUCCGGUUGUCACGCCAGUGGCAUUGCCGGGUAGCUAUGGUCGGACGGGAUAACCGCUGAAAGCAUCUAAGCGGGAAGCCCCCUUCAAGAUGAGACAUCCCUGAGACCUCGAGUCUCCUAAAGGGCCCAGCGAGACCAGCUGGUUGAUAGGCACGGUGUGGAAGCGCUGCAAGGCGUUGAGCUAACGUGUACUAAUGGCCCGUGAGGCUUGACCCUAUAACACCCAAGGGGU